rnacentral:rRNA from 1 species
AUACGUAGGGAGCGAGCGUUGUCCGGAAUUACUGGGCGUAAAGGGCGCGUAGGCGGCGCUUCAAGUCGUCUGUCAAAUGGGAGGGCUUAACCCUUUUUCGCAGACGAAACUGGAGAGCUUGAGAAGCAGAGAGGCAAACAGAAUUCCUGGUGUAGCGGUGAAAUGCGUAGAUAUCAGGAAGAAUACCAGUGGCGAAGGCGGUUUGCUGGCUGCAUACUGACGCUGAAGCGCGAAUGCCAGGGGAGCAAACGGGAUUAGAUACCCCGGUAGUCCUGGCAGUAAACGAUGUAUGCUGGGUGUGAGACUAGCGAUAGUUUCGUGCCGAAGUUAACGCGAUAAGCAUACCGCCUGGGGAGUACGGUCGCAAGAUUGAAACUCAAAGGAAUUGACGGGG